rnacentral:lncRNA from 1 species
UGAGAUAAAACUCUUUGAGAAAUGGUAGAGGAGAGCAUAAAAGCAAUGCCUGACGGUACCUCCCCCCAUAUAUAUCCCUCCUCAUCCCUAUCUAUCAUUAGUUAUGUUUUUUUUUUCUUUUUAAAUUUGAAUAAAGUGGGAGGUGUUUUCGUCAGCUACACUAGUUUCAGAUAUAGCUUAGGGUUACAGUGUGCAGUUUUGAUAAUGUAGAGACCCUUGAAGAAGCAAUUUACAAGUCCUGAAGUUAAUUAUCUCUUUGCAAUUAUGAUUUAAGUUUAAUUAUCUCUAAUCUUCUGCAUUUUGAGAGAGUCAGAUUCCCGUAAUUAUGUUUUAUGCGGUUCGGGUGUAGUGAUGAAUUUUAAUUGCUUGUUACCCAAGACAGCUAGUAAUUCGGCC